UUUGAAGUCUCCUUUGCUCUAGCUAUGCUCAGUGUGGUAAACAACUUUCUGUUGCCUGUGGCUCAAGAUAUAGAACCUUUAGCUCCUUCUCCCAGCACCAUGUCAGCCUGCGCACACCACCAUGCUUCCUGCCAUGACGAUAAUGGACUGAACCUCUGAACUUACCUGUGUUCCUCAUGCCCCAGAGCUGCAGUAGGGCAAGGCUGAGCGGAGAAAGACAGGGGAGAAGAGAAGAUGGAAUGAGAAGCACUACACAGAAAACAGCUGCUCGGGGCUGGCUGAAUCCUUGGAGUUGAAAGGUCAAGACGCCAAUGCAAAGACACAACAGGAGAGGAGAACCAGUGAGGAACCAGGAGCAAAGAGAGAAGCUGGAGAAAGCUUGUAAGAGGAGAAUUGGAAUAAUUUAUGAUGCAGUUUGGACUUCAGUCUGGUUGACAAGCUGUGCAUUUGGAGUGCAUAGGUAGAAGAAACAACCUGGAGGAAUGAAAGAGAAUAUUCUUGGAUUGGACCAGUCUUAGUAGGCUAAUAGCAGAAGGAAAUGGUGAACAGAAGUGUUCGUGGUGCGUCUACGUUUGACUCAGAUGAAAACAAAAUCAUUUCUACUCUG